GUCCUAAAGGAACGUUUAAGACUAAGACGUUGAUAGGUUGGGUGUGUAAGCGUAGCGAUACGUUGAGCUAACCAAUACUAAUGAACCGUGAGGCUUAACCUG
rnacentral:rRNA from 1 species